rnacentral:lncRNA from 10 species
AGAAGAUCUCAUCCAGAAAGCCGUGCAUUCCGAAGAAAAGAAAGCGGGGAUGGUGUUUCCCUUCCUGUUUGCUGAUCCACUGGGGCUGUCCCAGAAAGAGAACUACAACGCUACUCUUUCCCAUGCCUUGCUUGUCCACAGGACACAACAUUUGUCUCCUCCAGAAGAUGCAGCAACAAGGUAUCAUCUUGGAAGCAGAGACAGGGCCUUCACCAGACACCAAACCCAAAGAUCCCUUCAUCUUGGACUUUCAGCCUCCAGAACUGUGAGAAAUAAAUUCCUAUUCUUUUAAAAUUACCCAGUCUCAGGUGUUUUGUUGUAUCAACACAAAUGAACAGGCCCAGACUGCGCAAUGUCUGAAGAUCUUCAUUUCACCCUGCUAGUAACAACCAUCCUGUUACGUUUGCACUUCUUUGCAAUUCACCCCAC